rnacentral:rRNA from 1 species
GUGUCAGCAGCCGCGGUAAUACGGAGGGUGCAAGCGUUAUCCGGAUUCACUGGGUUUAAAGGGAGCGUAGGUGGACUUUUAAGUCAGUGGUGAAAUCUCUGGGCUUAACCCGGAAACUGCCAUUGAUACUAUUAGUCUUGAAUUCUCUGGAGGUAAGCGGAAUAUGUCAUGUAGCGGUGAAAUGCUUAGAUAUGACAUAGAACACCCAUUGCGAAGGCAGCUUACUACGGAGACAUUGACACUGAGGCUCGAAAGCGUGGGGAUCAAACAGGAUUAGAAACCCCCGUAGUCC